CCUACGGGAGGCAGCAGUGGGGAAUAUUGGACAAUGGGCGAAAGCCUGAUCCAGCAAUGCCGCGUGAGUGAUGAAGGCCUUAGGGUUGUAAAGCUCUUUUACCCGGGAUGAUAAUGACAGUACCGGGAGAAUAAGCCCCGGCUAGCUCCGUGCCAGCAGCCGCGGUAAU
rnacentral:rRNA from 1 species